AGAGAAAAGUCAACAGACAUAGCUCAGAUCAGUAGUCAAAGCUUUGAGAACUAUCCAAAUGUUCCAAGUGCUCAUCCAAGUGACAGGCAUUUGAACAGAGUCGCAGUAGUGCUCAUGAACCUGCUCCAACAGCUCACUGAAUACAAUAAUUCGAAGGGAACCAGGCGUGCCGCGCCUGCAUUUGCCGGAGUGGUGCGAGCAGGUGGAGCGCGCUGGAGCCGGCCAGGAGAAAGCACGGAGCACGCUGCGCGCACGGACUAAGUACGGAACGGGGGGAAACCGGAGCAGCCAAUGGGACUCAGCCAAUGCUGUGCACGCUGGGCUCAGAGGAAGGAAGCAAAACCUGGGACAGAAGGAAAACAGUUUUUCCCAUACUGCUUGCUUUGUUCUUCCAAGCACAAGGGCACCCACCAAUAGAAAACUCCCCUAAGCUCCAAGAACUCCAAGACCAAAAUCAAAUAUGUUGACAUUUUUUGUAGUGAGUUGUGAAAGCCAACAUUCAGUAUUCAAGACAUGGCAUGAAUGGACCACCUCUCCAGUAUUAUGAAUGGUCAUUUAAUCUCCAUCCUCAAUUCACCAUGACCCCAGAAGCAAAGGCUGCCAAUUAUAUUGGACUGUACCAAACUAUGCAUAAUUGUUUUACAGAGAUUGCCUUUUCAGUGAUUUCAUUUUUAUUUCAAAAACCACAGCUUUUACUGAUUCAGCUGCUUUGACAUCCUUGUUUCUUAAUUAGAGAGGAAAAAACUUGAUGGAUGGACCACAUGGUGGAUAAAUUAUUAGCUAUGUGGUGGCACUCAAAGUGUUGCAGUCAAUGGCUCAAUGUCCAGCUGCAGACCAGUGAUGAGCAGUGAUCCUCAGGGGAUGGUGUUGUGACAUCUUUGUUAGCAACAGGGACACUGGGACUCAAUGCAUGCUCAUCAAGUCUGCCAGUGACACAAAGUGUGUGGCACAGUCAAUGCUGUAGGGAAAGGAUGCUUGAGAGGUUCACAGGCCAUUGUAAUCCUGAAAUCCAACAAGUAUAAGGACCUGCAUCUGGAUCUGGGCAAUCCCAAGUACCAUUUCAGGCUGGGCUGAAGAUAGAUCAAGAGCAGUUCUGCCAAAAAGGAUUUGUGGGUGUUGGUGGAUGAGUAGUUUCAACAUGACCCAGCAACAUAUGCUGGCAGCCCAGAAAAACACUUGUAUCCUGGGCUGCAGCAAAAGAAUUCUGGCUAGCAGGGGAAGACAGGGGAUUUUCACCCUUCUAUGUCACAUGCAAGAGAACCUACCUGGAGUGCCGCAUCCAGCUCUGGGACUCCCCGCAUAAGGACAUGGAACUAGUUGGAACUAGUCCAGAGGAGGGUCAUGAAGAUACUGGCCAGACUGGAACAUCUCUGCUCUUGAAGACAGGUUGAGGGAUUUCGGGUUUCUCAGCAAACAGAAGAGAAGGUUCCAGGGAUACCUUAUGGCACCUUCUAGUACCUAAACAGGACUUAAAAGGAAGAUGGAGUGGGAAUUUUAUGAGGGCAUGCAGUUACAGAACAAGGUGUGAUGGGAUGAAACUGAAAGAGGGUAGGUUUCGAUUAUAUAUAAGAAUCGAAUUCUUCGCUGUGAAGGUGAUGAGGCACUGGAACAGGCUGCCCAAAGAAGUUGUGGAUGCCCCAUCCUGGGAAAUGUUCAAAGCUAGGUUGGAUGGAACCUUGAGCAACCUGGUCUAGUAGGUGUCCCUGCACAGGGGAGGGAGUUGAAACUGAGUAAUCUUUGAAGUCUGUUCCAACCUAAACCUUUCUGUGAUCCUAUGAUUCUCUGAAAACAGAAAAAAAUAUGCAAAUAGAACAAAAUACCAACAGAACAAAAUACUUGAUUGAAACAAAUAGUUCAGUUAUACUGCAGAAUACCUUUCUUUUGAAGGAAGUAGAGGUAAACCAUAUUCUUGUAAAUCUCAGUGUCAGACAGGCAUGUGAAAGGAAUAAAACAUUUUGAUUUUAAAUAGUCUUAACCAAUUUUGUAUUUCAGUUUUGUAUACUUGGAGUAAGGCAAUCACAUUUCUCAGACAUAUAUUACUUAUUAUUUAGCUACUGCAACAGUAAACCUACAGUCCCUACAAUUCUAAAUAAUUUGAGAGUGAUAUACUUAGGUGUAUGACAAACUUUUUUCAAAAGGUUUUGCAGUAGACUCAAGCCAAUGUUAUGAAUUUUUAGCUGUUGCCUGGGGUUGUAUUAAUUGUAAAUUUUUAAGGAUAUAAAAUAUUUUAAAAUUUCUUCUCUGUGUAGACAAUAGUCCUUAGUUAAGGAAUUCACCCUUUCUAGUUAAGUUGAUUUUACUCACUCCCCCAAAACAUAUUUAUACACUUCAUAAAAGUAUGGAUUGAUUUUGUACCUCUUAGUUUUUGAAUUAAAGAACUGUAAGAGUUUACCUUGAAAACUGUAACAUGCUUGUACUUAAAUGUCCCCAGACAAACAUCUGCCACCCUGUUAAAUGACUCUAUGCUGGCCACUACUGUAUGGAGAAAAGUGUCAUCAAAUAAAUAUUUCAAAUAUUG